CUUCACCGAGCCGAGCCACAGCGGCUGUUCCGCCGGCCGGUCCUGGCCGUAGGUGGCGAUCAGCGCCUGCGCCUC
rnacentral:antisense_RNA from 1 species